AGAACAAUGGCUUAUGGAAGCGUUCCGAAAGCAUACAGACAUACCCGAAAGAGAAUAUACUGGUCUGGUUCUGUGGCACAUCUGGAAGGCAAGAAACGGAUGGAUUUUUCGAUCAAAAGUUCCGAAAUCUACAGAUCUCCUGCAAAUCGUACAAGAUCAGCACCUUACCCUAAUCAGAGGAAAGAAAAUCCAGAAUCGCGUUAACCCUAAUUGCAAUUUACCUAGGCGAUGGAAACCUCCUGAUCGAAGUGAACUGAAGAUGAAUGUCAACGCUUCUUGGAUACCGGGCGAGUUUCUGUGCUCUAUUGCUGGUGUCGUGAGGAAUUCGUCGGGGCAAGUACUCGAGGGCUUCGCCUGUACA
rnacentral:lncRNA from 1 species